CCUACGGGUGGCAGCAGUAGGGAAUUUUCGGCAAUGGGGGGAACCCUGACCGAGCAACGCCGCGUGAACGAAGAAGUUAUUCGUAAUGUAAAGUUCUUUUAACAGGGAAGAAAGAGAAAUUUGACGGUACCUGAAGAAUAAGCUCCGGCUAACUACGUGCCAGCAGCCGCGGUAAUACGUAGGGAGCGAGCGUUAUCCGGAUUUAUUGGGUUUAAAGGGUGCGUAGGCGGAUUUUUAAGUCAGCGGUAAAAUGUCCGGGCUCAACCCGGGCCGGCCGUUGAAACUGGGGAUCUUGAGUGGGCGAGAAGUAUGCGGAAUGCGUGGUGUAGCGGUGAAAUGCAUAGAUAUCACGCAGAACUCCGAUUGCGAAGGCAGCAUACCGGCGCCCGACUGACGCUGAGGCACGAAAGCGUGGGGAUCGAACAGGAUUAGAUACCCCAGUAGUC
rnacentral:rRNA from 1 species